UAAAGGCCCACCAAAGCGACGAUCAGUAGCCGGCCUGAGAGGGUGGACGGCCACAUUGGGACUGAGACACGGCCCAGACUCCUACGGGAGGCAGCAGUAGGGAAUAUUGCACAAUGGGGGAAACCCUGAUGCAGCGACGCCGCGUGAGCGAAGAAGUAUCUCGGUAUGUAAAGGUCUAUCAGCAAGGAAGAAGAGAGACGGUACUUGACUAAGAAGCCCCGGCUAAAUAC
rnacentral:rRNA from 1 species